rfam:Micromonospora rifamycinica strain AM105 contig252, whole genome shotgun sequence.
CUUCACCGACCCCAACAGCAGCGGCCGUUCCCGAUCCUGGCCGUACGUCGCCAGCACCGCAUGCGCCUC